ensembl:lncRNA
CUCAAAUACUAGAAGGCUGCAAUUGGGUUUCCCCAGAGCCUUCUCUUCUCCAGGCUAAACAGACCCAACUCCCUCAGCCUGUCUUUAUUGGAGAGGUGCUCCAGCACUCUGAUCAUCUUCAUAUUCUCCUUUGGACCCACAUCAACUGCUCCAGGUAGACAAGCAUUUAAAUCCAUACUUACGUAAUAUUCUUAAAAAUUUUCCAGAAGUUCUCAGUAGUUUUCUUACAGUAAGUACUGUAUUAUUCUUAUAACAGAAUAAUCUGUGUUGCAACUUGAAAGUAUAUUCUGAUAUGUUUGUAUUGAUAAAUAGGUUACAGUUUACAGAUACCGAGUUGCUGUUCUAACCUCAAGAAUUUUGUGGUUUUUUUUUUAAAUUAUUUUUCUAUAUAGAAAGGGUUUUCUGUUUGUGCUUUUCUUCUUUUUAUUUUUUUAAACUAAAAUAAUAAUAGGUGAAAUUUGCAUUCAUGUAAACCAACCUACAGACUUUUCAAAUCCUUAAAUAUCCUCUUAGAAAGUACAUGGGGAGAAAGUAAGCAUGUAAUACAUUAUUCAGAAAACCUGUGAAGUCAUGUUUGAACAACCAGAUAGUUCUACAUCUGUCCUAAUGAUGACGAAUUGGCAAAAAAAAUCAAUUGCAAGAUACAAAUAGACCAUUGGAUUAUUCAAAAACUCAUCAUCUGUCAUUCAAACUGGUCUUCAGAAACAAAGAUGAUCCUUUCCAUUAAAAGAAACAAACAAACAAAAUGACCACCAACAAGAAACAAUAACCACAAACCCAACAACAGCAAAAAAGGAAACAGAAUAAGACAGUGAAAUUCUUCUGAUCCUUAUAUAACCCUAGAAGCACAGAUCAGAAUGAAGGACCUGACAUCUGCAAACUCUAUUCUAAGCAGCUCCCUAUAGUUAGUGGGAGGAGGUUUGCAUGUAGCUCAAAAUAUAACAAACCUUCUAUUAUUAAACAGUGUUUUGCUUUCUUUUUCUUACUGCUCAGUCUUUACAGAGGUAUUAAUUGAAGUUUCUGGAAGAAAAGGAAUAGUUUACUUUUUAUCACUGAACUUCACUGGUAUCCUUUGAUACUUUAAAGUAAAGCUAAAAUAUGUCUAGGUAAACAAACCCAUUUAUGUAGCUUCUUAAAAGCAUAUAUGUUGCUAUCUCAUUUGAUUAUUUUGCUAAUAAAUCCACUUAACUCUGAUGUCUGACUGCCUCUGAUGCCUCAGCAGGCAGUCCUGCUGAGAGGAUUUGAUGCAGCACAAAUCAGAUGGUAAAAAGUUACUACUGUAAAAGAUGUAUUGUCAACUCCUGCACAGCUGCCUUUUAGCUGCAGAUCACAUCCUGAAGGCAACAGCACCAGGGACAGAAAACCUGUCCGGCGGAUUUGUAUCUUAGAAAUUUGUAAUCUCACAUUCCGCAUGAGACAGGAUGCAGAAUCUCUCCCUGUAACUUCAACAUAAAACUCAUAUUUACUUUGCUGAAUCAAAGUCUAUACAACCACUGCUUCAAAAGUAAUGCUUCUUAUUUUAUUCUGUUGAUCUGUGAUGUCAGAGGCAAAUGUUGGUGGUAUGACAAUAGAGACUGAACCUUCCCACAUGUAUUUUGUUACAUUUUGAUGCUGUGUGACAACAGAGGGGCAGUCUGACAAAAUGGUGUCUGACACGGAACUGUAUGUGAAACAAAGAUAUAUCAGUGAAUUCCUCCAUGCAAAUAAAAUUGCACCCAAUGACAUUAACUGACAUUUGAUGAACAUUUAUGUAGACAAACCAAUGGGCGUCAACACAGUGAGGUGGUGAGCGUCGCAUUUCAGCAGCAGUGACAGCAACAGUGGGUCACAUCUGCUGGUACAGGCAAAUACAAGCACAGCACGCAGGCUCUUGUUCAUCACUGGUGAAAAUGCAGAGCUAAUGGUGGUGACUGUUGAGAAAUAGUGCUCUGUAGCUUAGAAUUUCUGUCAAAUAAAAAAAAAAGUCCUUGGUCAGAAAGAGAGGACUGACUACUUUUCCCCACCCUACAUCCAAUCCAAACCUAGUUUCUCCUCAGUUUUAACUCCUCUGCACAUCUGCAUCAUUUCAUGGGACACAAACAAAGUAGAGAAACAAUUUACUAUGAGUCUUUUAGCCUUUUAACAGCUGGGAGAUCUCCUGCGAAGAAAAUGCAUAUUAAAUGACAGAAGAUUAUAAGGAUACAGUACAGAGAUCUUGAAAAAAAAAAAAAAAAGGAAAUUAGUUACUAGAGUUACUAGAGAAAUCUGAAAAAUGUAUUAAGUGUAAGCUUUACAUCACAAACAAAUGAAUGUCUUAGUCUCUCAGACUCUACAUUGUGGACUCUAAGAGACUUUGUGUUGAUUAUAAAA